GACGAACGCUGGCGGCGUGCCUAAUACAUGCAAGUAGAACGCUGAAGGAGGAGCUUGCUUCUCUGGAUGAGUUGCGAACGGGUGAGUAACGCGUAGGUAACCUGCCUGGUAGCGGGGGAUAACUAUUGGAAACGAUAGCUAAUACCGCAUAAGAGUAGAUGUUGCAUGACAUUUGCUUAAAAGUUGCAAUUGCAUCACUACCAGAUGGACCUGCGUUGUAUUAGCUAGUUGGUGGGGUAACGGCUCACCAAGGCGACGAUACAUAGCCGACCUGAGAGGGUGAUCCGCCAAACUGGGACUGGGACACGGCCCAGACUCCUACGGGAGGCAGCAGUAGGGGAUCUUCGGCAAUGGACGGAAGUCUGAACGAGCAACGCCGCGUGAGUGAAGAAGGUCUUCGGAUCGUAAAGCUCUGUUUUAAGGGAAGAACGAGUGUGAGAGUGGAAAGUUCACACUGUGACGGUAUCUUACCAGAAAGCGACGGCUAACUACGUG
rnacentral:rRNA from 1 species